rnacentral:misc_RNA from 1 species
AUUCCGGUAGCUUGCCGUCCAUUUGCGAAAAUUCUUUCCGAGCGUCUCUUCCGGCCAUUUCAGUUCAUAGUUUUUUGGUGACUAUAGUGUUUUUAGUGAAACCGGAGUCCUUGCGAAAGUUCACUUAGUUUUUCUCUUUAAUUAAGUCACGAAUAAGGUCUAGAAGUUAAGUUUAAACUAGAACAAGUACGCGUAUACGUAGAAACACAUAAAAAUGGCAGAUCAGCAAAACGACCACGAAAUGAACGGCGAAGACUUCUCGCAGGACGUGAAAGCUUGCGACGAUUCACAGAUGAACGGCGCCGAGAAUGGAGCCGGUGGCGGCGAUUCACAGAAUGGAAAUGGGGAGAACUCAUCGGCUGGACGUGAUGAUGAUCGAAAAUUAUUCGUUGGUGGUUUAAGCUGGGAAACAACUGAAAAGGAACUUCGAGAACACUUUGGACAGUAUGGCGACAUUGAAAGUAUAAACGUCAAGACAGAUCCAACAACCGGCCGUUCAAGAGGAUUUGCAUUUAUUGUGUUUGCGGCAGCCGAUUCAAUCGACAAAGUCGUACAAGUUGGUAACCACAUUAUCAACAAUAAAAAGGUUGAUCCUAAGAAAGCCAAAGCCCGCCAUGGAAAAAUUUUCGUCGGUGGUCUCACCUCAGAGAUUAGCGAUGAUGAAAUCAAGGCGUACUUUUCACAAUUUGGAAAUAUUGUUGAAGUCGAAAUGCCAUUCGACAAACAAAAGAAUCAACGCAAAGGUUUCUGUUUUAUCACAUUCGAUUCAGAGCAAGUGGUGAAUGAACUUUUACGUACUCCGAAGCAGACAAUUUCGGGCAAGGAGGUGGACGUGAAGAAGGCUACACCCAAGCCAGAGAAUAUGCCGAUGAUGAUGAUGCGCGGUGGAGCACGUGGUGGUCGUGGCGGACGAGGAAUGGGCCGUGGAGGCAAUAAAAACACAGGUUAUGGUCAAGGCUGGGGCAACCAGGGCUAUGGCUAUGGGCAAGGCUAUGGCUAUGGUGGCUAUGAUGGUUAUGGUGCCGGCGGUUAUGAUUAUUACGGAGGCUACGGUGGUUACGGCAGCUACGAUUAUUCAGGAUACGGAGGUUAUGACUAUAGUGGAUACGGAGGUUACGAUGGCGGCUACGGUAACGGCGGUGGUCGAUCCGGAGGGCCACGAGGCGGUGGCAAAGGCGGUAACUACCAAGGCGGAAAACAGAGAGGUACCGGUCGCCAGCAAAGGCAUCAGCCCUAUUAAAUACAUUUUGCCGUUAUUAACUGUAAUUUAUAUAAAGUUUGUGUGAGAAUUUUUUUUUAUAAAAAAGGGGGCAUAUUGUUCAUCCGAUCACUGAAAAAUUCAUCUUCCAUCCACCAUUCCAUUUUAAAAAUAACAAAAAAAAAACAUUGGAGCAGACGGACACAGUGUAAAUGGAACAGAAACUUUAAUAAAGUACGUAGAUGCGUUGACAUUUUUAAGAAAAAAAGAUAUAUCGCAAAAUGAUGCCGCUCGAUGUUUGUUUCAUCGAUUCAACGGAAGGAGAUUAUAUGGGAGGAGCAAUUAUGAUUACAGGCCACUCUUAUCAAACAACAGCACUUAAUAAUGUAAAGAAAUGAAAUGAAAGAAUAUUUAAAACGAAAGCAACAAUAUUAGUUUAGUUCUUGAAGUAAUAAAACUAAAAUACAAUUUAAAACUAUAUUUAAAAUAUAUGUACAAAAAAAUGUGUCGUGUGAUUAUCCGCCAGCAAACCGUUUUUAUACACACACAGACUUGAAUGACUGGAUUUUUUCUCCGUACUUUAUUAAACUAAAAAUAUCGUUUGUAAUUUUUCUCUCUUAGAGAUUUGAAUGCAGUUUUAGUACGACUACGCCACUACAAUAACAAUUAACAAAGUGUUUAAUCCAUAAAGUAAAAUUCAUUAUAAAAACACCAACCAUAGGAAAUAGUUAUUGAAACACGAAACUGGAAAAGAACCAAACAAUUAAACAGUAUAAAGUAUUCUCUUUUGAAUUAUCUCAUUUGCAGCAUAUGUGUAAUUACUAGUUUAAAAGUGUUUUUUUUUUUUAAUUAAAAUAUUGUAAUGCUUAAAUAUAUCUAUUUUAAUAUAAUAUAAAAUUAAAGAAAAAGAGAAACGAUAGAUUUUUUUAUUGGUGAUUUAUUCUUUAUUUUCCCUCUGAUAUAAUUUAUAAGGUCUUUCACGUUUUGUUCACUUAAUUCACAAGAAAACAAUUAGUAUAUUCACAGAUAUUCAUAACAGUGCAAACGUGAUCAUUGAGAGAUUAGAUUAUGAUGAUUGACUUGAAAGAAGAGUUAGAUAUGGAAAGAACAAAAUGAAUAGAUUAUGACGUUUUUAUAUAGAAUAUACACAGACAUAUGUAGCCGUCAUGUUAACGUAAAUUAUCAUAAAUAUAUUUUCUUUUUCCUUGUCAAUAAAUAUUAAGACGAGUUCACAUUUAAUAUAUAAUUCUAGAAAUGGCAUUUAAAACUUGACAUUUUUUUUUUCUAAUUAUGAAAGUAAUACAAGAAAAAAUGAAAAAAGGAACCUAUAAUAGUUGUAAGGAUGAUUUAAUACUUUUCUUCAGAACAUUUAAUAUACACAGAAAAGGAGUAAGGAACAAAUGAAAAAGAAAAUUUAUUCACUGUAAAUAUCUUAUUUUUUUAUUAGAGAAAUGUUUCAUUUCUAAGAGAAUUUCGUAAGUUUUUUUUGGAAGAAUUAAAGGAAGAAUGUGAAAAGUGAA